rnacentral:rRNA from 1 species
AGCGUUGUUCGGAAUUACUGGGCGUAAAGGGCGCGUAGGCGGUCCUGUAAGUCCUGUGUGAAAUCCCCCGGCUCAACUGGGGAAUUGCACGGGAAACUGCGGGGCUUGAGUUCGGGAGAGGGAAGCGGAAUUCCAGGUGUAGCGGUGAAAUGCGUAGAUAUCUGGAGGAACACCGGUGGCGAAGGCGGCAUCCUGGACCAACACUGACGCUGAGGAGCGAAAGCCAGGGGAGCAAACGGG